CUCAGCAAAUGAAGACUUGCCACGUAAGAAUAAAGGGGAAAAAAAAAAAGGGAAGAAAAGAAAUUGAUGAAACAUAAAAAUGCAAUUAAUACCAAGUUAUGAACAGUUGGGGAAGCAUUCAAAGCACUUGUCCUAACUACUACACCUUUUUCCCGCAAGUUACCUAAAUUUUGAUCCAUCAAUGGCCAAAAUCACCAACUCCUUCUUCCUCGUCUUCCAAACUGCGUCGUUUUCACACACUCUCCUCCUCCUUCUCCGCCUCUUCUCUCUCUCUUUCUCUCUCUCUCUCUUUCCAUGGCCAACGACGUCGCUCUGAGGUCCGCUCUCGUUUGGUUAGCUGCGGUGGUUGUGGUCGUCGGGAUUUGCACUUUCUCCUUCAAGAAAAUGAUAGCAACCUACAUCGUGGGUAUUCUGGGAAUUUCCGGUUUGCUUUUGCCUGAUUGGGGUUACUUCGACCGAGACUUUUCAAGGUGGACUACUCCGGUUGAGUCCCAUGAAAGGGUCUCUGAGACGGCUCAAAGAUCUGCAUUUUCAAGGUUAAUGCACCAUCCAUUGAGAGUGAUAGUUUAUAGCACAGUAUAUGGGUUUGCUCUGUACAAGUGGUGGAUGUUCGUAUCCAAGUAGUGAAAAGCAGUUCAUGAAGAAUGGUUUCAUCUCAGGAGCUUUUGUGGAUCGAACUUUGAAGGAAACUCUCCAAUCAUAAUGUGUAAAAUGUAGUCUAGAGCCAGUAGCCCGGGUGAAGAAAAUCAAGAAAAAAGAAAUCUACCAUGGCAGUAAGUGUCUGUACCGGGAAAGUACCCCCUACUUUUGGCUCAUUUUCUCAUGGAGAAGAGGACAAUUUAAUGCGCGUUUAUGAUUAGUUUGUAUGAUUCAGGGUAAGGCAAAAGGAGAGGUCUCUUUCUACCGGAAAUAAGUGGUAGAGGUUCAGCAGGAACUUAUAAGUGAUUACAAUCUAAGUCAGACAUUUAUUAACCCAUCAAUAUAAUAGUUCAUUAUUAUCAUGCUCAUAAGUUCGGCACCUCCUAAUGGAUCCUCAAACCCGGUAUUUGGAGACUUUUAAGUAGGCAUUAACUAAAUCCUCUCGAGAAAAGGGAACAUAAGGCAUUAGAAAAUCCUCUACCAGCUGGUCUAAUUUAAUAUUAAAGAUAAUACUUUUAACUCGUCAAAAUCAUGAGCAUAGAGUUAAAACUCUUCACAACAGCUCGAACUUAAUUAGAAAGUUUGAAUUAGACUGAAUUAGAAAGUGAAUAAAAUCAGACUCAAUUAGAAAGUAAAUAAACGUACGUCAUAAGAGUUAUGAAUUGAUACCUCUGUUUAAAACUGUAAUCGCUGAUUAUUAAUCGAGAAAAAAUAGACAUAACAAUAGAACAUAAGGGGCCACCCAUUUUGGAUUUUACAAUCUUUCUAGUACAUCUUCCAGCACUAAUUUUCUAAUACGCCAAUAACUGCUCGAUUUAUUAGUAUUCAGUAGUUACACAUCCCUUCCACACAAAAAUUUUUUGAAAGAAUUCUAAAACUUUUGAUCUAUUGAAGCUUAACGGGAUUUACAUAACCAAACAUACUCUUCACCCUCUCAAUUUCAGUGUCUUUUCACCACAACAAAUAAUGUAUAAAAUUGAACCUAUUUCUUUGAUAGCAAGUAAUAUUGCGAGAAGACAGCUCCGAUAAAGUUGAAAAGAAAAGAAAA